GCAAGUGGGACACAGAUGGUAGAGGUAAGUCACCCUGGACAUAGGGGAAUCGGCAAGUGGGGACACAGAUAGUAGAGGUAAGUCACCCUAGACAUAGGGGAAUCGGCAAGUGGGGACACAGAUAGUAGAGGUAAUCAGCAAGUGUGGACACAGAUAUAGUCGAGGUUAAGUUAACAGAUAAAUGGUUUUUGAUGUUUCAAGUACAGAAAUUAGCAGUAUGAUUAAAAAGUAAUAAAGUGUGAGUAUUUGUUGAAGGAGAGAAGUGCCCAUUCAUAUACUGUAUCAUAUUGAAAGAGAUACAAUUUUAGGAUCCUGCAAUAAGAAAUGCCCCAUCCCAAGGGGGAUGUGCGCAUGCCCUUCCAGGGCCUACUGGGUACAUUUCUAUUCAAUUGAGUGCUUAUACGUUAUGUAUUUAUAAGCUGAUUUCAAACACAUUUUUCAG